UCAGCCUCCCGAGUAGCUGGAACCACAGGCACCCGCUGCCACGCCCAGCUAGUUUUUUGUAUUUUUUAGUAGAGACAGGGUUUCACCGUGUUAGCCAGGAUGGUCUCGAUCUCCUGACCUCGUGAUCCGCCCGCCUCGGCCUCCCAAAGUGCUGGGAUUACAGGUGUGAGCCACCGUGCCCGGCCGGGAGAAGACACCUUCCUAAAGGAGAUGAAGAGUUGUUUUGCUAGAACUUUCUGACAGCCAGAACUGCUGGUGGAAGGCAGAUUCUUGGCUGUGUGACCCUGUGUUUGCCACCCGCCCUCUCUGGACCAUGAUCUCAUCUGUGAAGGCUGGAGAGCAAAAGCUGGCUUAGCUUCUAAAAACCACAAUUCGCCUGCCACACCCAGGGAUCCUCUGGCUCCCAUGGGGUUCGCUCAGAGGAGGGAUUGGGUGUGCCGAGCCCGUUGCUUUUCUGGGCAAGUCAGAGCGCCAGAGUCAGUCUUCCAACCCCCUGCCUUACUGGGCACAGAGGUGCCUCUGUAGAAGUGAAGAAAUGACUGAAGAAAUGAAGCAGAAGGGGAGAUGAGCGUGAACGCAACUGCGGGUCUUGGCACUUAAGACAGCUGACUAGAAGUUGCUGGAAGAGUGAGGCAGAGCAGGGAUGGCUUCCCGGAGGAAGAGGCGUUAAAGCAGAUCAUGAGGACUUUAAUGAGCAAAGAUGUGAGUUGGGACUUUGGAGCAAAGUCUGAAGACACAAAAACACAGAAACACAUAAAGUAGGCUGAGGUGGAUGGAGCCAUGUGAGAGGAGGGGUAGGCUCCUGACCCUACCUGGAGGUCCUGAACGCCAGAUGGAGCAUUGUGGAUGGUCUCCAGAUGGGCACUUUCAGCAGAGGUUUUGAAGAGAUCCCUCUGGUUGCUUUGUGGACUGACUGGGGCAGGCCUGGAGGCAGGGAGGCUGCCAGGGGGGCUGUGGCCAAGGUCUGGGUGGAGGUUAUGGAGCCUGAAUAGCUGCAGGUUGUGGAGGACAAUACAGGUUCCCAGUCUGAUGGGUCUCCUCCAGGAACAGGGAACUCACCACCUCCUGGGCAGCAGUUCUCCCCAUUGGGUAGCUCUGCAGCAAGAUCUUCCCUGCAUAGGGCUCAAGCCUUUCUGGGGUGAUGUGUGGGUACAGGGAUUGGGAAGAAGAUUCCAUUCAUUAUGCUGGGGGUACCCAUGAGGACGGAAACUUGGGGGAAAGUUUGGGACCACUGAGUUCAAACUGAGAGCCUUGGUGAAGAGGCUCUCUAACCUCUCUGUAUGACCCCCAGGGUAACCUGACCAGAUCAGACACUCAGCCGGGCACCCUGGGUCAGUGUGGGCAUGCGGAAGCUCCUUAACUGGCCCCAGAAAAGCAGCAGAGCAAGCAGAAAGAUAUUUGCACAACUGGAGGUUUUAGGCACAUAUUUAUUUUAUUUUUUUUAAUAUAAAAGUAAAAGAGUACAUUGUUGAGUAGAGGAUUAAAGGAGUGACGACCCUUUCUAAAGUGGGGUCUCCCAUCCCGGAUCCCUAAGACUGUAACAUCUGCUACAUACAUUAAAAACAAAACAAAACAAAAGCAAACAUGAAAC
rnacentral:lncRNA from 10 species